UUUUGGUUCAAAGGGCACAGUUUAAUAUCAUGUGUCCCCGUGCUCUAGGUUGUAACGUUGGUAGCCCGCUUCGCGCCAGUAAAACCACAUUUUAAGAAGUUGGCUACGUAGUAAUUUCAUGGAGCAUAUUAUGAACACAAGUUGAAACGCCUGUCUAUGCAUAUACGAUUUUUAAAAGAGCCAGGUUCAGUUUGACUUUUGGUUUACAGCAUUGAGGGAUGAGAGGGAGA